ACAAUGGCCACGACCUGACGCGCGAGCGCCAGCCCCAGCCCGGGAGUCACGCCGCUGGCGCUUGACGCACGCGGAGACCCGGGGGCCGUGCCCCAGCUUUGUGGAACCUGAGGGCGGCUCGGGUCAGGUCGGUCCCCGCGGGAGGACAGGCGCGACCCGUCCCUCAGGACCGACGGCGUGUGGCUGCGGGGGCAUGGGGUGCCCCUCUCGGCCCGGUCGCUCCAGCGAGGGGACGCUGAGCCCCAGCUUUUAAAGGCUUCAUAUUCCUGACAAAUGGAGAUCCACUGACAUGAAGAAAUUCUCAAGCAACUAGGCAACUGGGAUUGUGCAGGGGCUUGCCCCUGAUCCUAUAGUAAAAGGUCCAGCCCUCACUAGCUGAAGCAUGAAAAGCAGGAACUUGGUGGUGGUAUGACGUUUCAAUGAACCAAAGAGGCUCUGAUUACCGUCUGUAGACACCCACGGCACAAUUAUUAAGUUCAUUAGACAGAGAGGAAUCUGGAUUCAGCUGUGACAGGACAGCAAAUUAAAUAUACAUGGACAAAAGGAGGAGGCAUUCAAGGCUUUUUAUAGUCUUCAACAACAACCAGUCCCUACAUUUAAGAAGGUUAAUAACUGAGACAGCCUUCCUGGUGGAUCCAUCAUUUGGCCCAGCUUGUAGAAAGAUUCCCAACUAGCUCUAAUUAGUUCCAUCUUAUUUGGAGGCAGAGGUAUUCCUCAUCAUACCCAUAUCCUCAUAUAAAUUGUCCAGUGCCCUAGGUACCAGGGAGAAAGAAGACGAAGAAGGACAUAUACCAGAAGCACAUUAAUAGGCUGCUGAAAAACUCUGCCACACUUUCAGAUGACAGGUCACCUACAGAUAAAUGAUUCAAGGAUCAACCAAGUUCUGAAGUUUUUUUUUGUUUUUUUUUUUUGGGAUAGAGUCUCACUGUGUCACCCAGGCUGGAGUGCAGUGGCGUGAUCUCAGCUCACUGCAACCUCUGCCUCCCGAGUUCAAGUGAUUCUCCUGCCUCAGCCUCCCAAGUAGCUGGGAUUAUAGGUGCCUGCCACCAGGCCUGGCUAAUUAUUUUUUGUAUUUUUAGUAGAAACAUAGUUUCACUAUGUUGGCCAGGCUGGUCUUGAACUCCUGACCUUGUGAUCCACCCGCCUCAGCCUCCCAAAGUGCUGGGAUACAGGUGUGAGCCACCAUGCCCGGCCAGUUCUUAAUACUGCCAGGAGUGCUUUAGAAGGCUGGGAAUAUGGGGCGAAAGAUUAGACACCCAAGCUGUUGAAAACCACACAGAGUUUCAGUAAAUAUAUGCACAAUUUGAAAAAUAUAUUUGCAAAAAUCUAGGUGUCUCCGGUCUAGUCCUUCCUAUUAAUCAAAUAAAUUACCGAGCUUCAUGGCCCAGUCUAUGAUCCUAGUUCUGACCGCUGCUGCCCGUAAAGGCCUCAAUGAAUUCCUCUCUGAGCUUCCAGACUUCCUUGGCUGGUGACUUGUUCCUCUUGGGACAGCUUUUGCUUGAGCUGAGCAGCCUGGCCCCCAGCUGUGCAGGGCCCUCUCUCCGGUGAGAGGAAACGCUUUCAGCUUAGUCUGUUAACACAAACAUUCAAAAGCAAACAUUCAAAAGCCACAGAUCAUGUUCGCAUAAAUAAAAUAGGAUUGAGAAAAGCUUUGCCCCAAGAAACCAAAGGGGUGUUUAAAAAACAGCUCUUGCUUUCCAAGUAGGCAGGCAGCAAAGCCACAGCAAUUCCAAAGGUUUGUGUGCUUGGUAGAGCUGGGUGGCUGCAGCCGCAGGCCUUUGAAGAGGAAAUGCCAUCCCUGGUACAGGCAGGCGGCCAACCCAUGAGUCCUGAAAGUACCAGAGAGAAGCAGAAAGCAGGGGAGCACAGUUAGGAAGUGAAAAGGGAGAGGAAGGCACCAAGGAGAUAAAUGAGGAGACUCUUCUUAUCUAGAGUUCCCACCCCAGACCUAAGAGCUACAGGACAGAGGAACUCACUGUGCCUGACAGAGCUGGGGCCUGAAAUAGAAAAAGAUGAUUCUAAAAUCUGAUGGAACCACCAAGGAGCUUGAGUGGCCAAAGCAAAAAGAACAAGCUGAAGGCAUCACACCACCCAACUUCAAAAUAUAUUACAAAGCUAUAGUAAUCAAAACAGCAUUGUUCUCCAUAAAAAGACACAUAGACCAAAGGAACAGAUUAGAUCCCAGAAAUAAACCCAUGCAACUAUCUUUGACAAGGCUACCAAGACAUAAUGAGGAAAAAAUAAUCUCUUCAAUAAAUGAUGCUGGGAAAACUGUAUACCCACAUGCAGAAUGAAAUUGGUCCUUGAUGUUUUAUGUGACUGAAGCAGUUUGAAAAGGAGAGUGAAUGAGAGAGUAAGCAAGCUGUAAAAUUAGGUUGGGACCAAGUCAGGGGUUACCAAAUAUCAGGCUGAGCUUUGGUACUUUAUUUGGCAAGAAAAUAAAAC
rnacentral:lncRNA from 10 species